rnacentral:rRNA from 1 species
CCUACGGGAGGCAGCAGUCGAGAAUCAUUCACAAUGGGGGAAACCCUGAUGGUGCGACGCCGCGUGGGGGAAUGAAGGUCUUCGGAUUGUAAACCCCUGUCAUGUGGGAGCAAAUUAAAAAGAUAGUACCACAAUAGGAAGAGACGGCUAACUCUGUGCCAGCAGCCGCGGUAAUACAGAGGUCUCAAGCGUUGUUCGGAAUCACUGGGCGUAAAGCGUGCGUAGGCUGUUUCGUAAGUCGUGUGUGAAAGGCGCGGGCUCAACCCGCGGACGGCACAUGAUACUGCGAGACUAGAGUAAGGGAGGGGGAACCGGAAGUCUCGGUGUAGCAGUGAAAUGCGUAGAUAUCGAGAGGAACACUCGUGGCGAAGGCGGGUUCCUGGACAGUAACUGACGCUGAGGCACGAAGGCCAGGGGAGCGAAAGGGAUUAGAUACCCCGGUAGUC